rnacentral:rRNA from 1 species
AUCAACGCUGGCGGCGUGCCUAACACAGGCAAGUCGAACGAGAAAGUGGAGCAAUCCAUGAGUAAAGUGGCGACCGGGUGAGUAACACGUGACUAACCUACCCUAGAGUGGGGACAUAACCUCGGGAAACCGGGGGCUAAUACCGCAUAACAUCGCGAGGGGAAGAACCUUGUGAUCAAAGGCCGAAAUGCGCUCAGGAGAGGGGGUCGCGGCUGAUUAGCUAGUUGGUGAGGGUAACGGCCUACCAAGCGCAAAGAUCAGUAUCCGGCCUGAGAGGGCGCACGGACACACUGGAACUGAAACACGGUCCAGACUCCUACGGGAGGCAGCAGUGGGGAAUUUUGCGCAAUGGAGGAAACCCUGACGCAGCAACGCCGCGUGGAGGAUGAAGUUCCCUUGGGAUGUAAAACUCCUUUCGACUCGGACGAUACUGACGGUACGGGGAAGAAGAAGCACCGGCUAACUCUGUGCCAGCAGCCGCGGUAAUACAGAGGGUGCAAGCGUUGUUCGGAUUAUUGGGCCGUAAGGGCACGUAGGCGGUGCGGUAAGUCCCUGUGGUGAAAUCUCCUGGGCUCAACUGGGAGUCUUGCAUAGGAAACUGCAGUGCUGGAGUGUGGGAGAGGUGCGUGGAAUUCCCGGUGUAGCGGUGAAAUGCGUAGAUAUCGGGAGGAACACCUGUGGCGAAAGCGGCUCACUGGACCACAACUGACGCUGAUGCGCGAAAGCUAGGGGAGGCAAACAGGAUAGAUACCCUGGUAGUCCUAGCCCUAAACGAUGAUGCUUGGUGUGAUCGGGUACCCAAUCCCGAUCGUGCCGAAGCUACGCGAUAAGCAAUCCCGCCUGGGAGUACGGUCGCAAGGACUGCAACUCAAAGGAAUUGACGGGGGCCCGCACAAGCGGUGGAGCAUGUGGUUCAAUUCGACGCAACGCGAAGAACCUUACCUGGGCUCGAAAUCGUCAGUGGAAUCCGGUGGAAACAUCGGCCUCCGCAAGGGCCUGCUGCGGAGGUGCUGCAUGGCUUGUCGUCAGCUCGUGUCGUGAGAUGUUGGGUUAAGUCCCGCACGAGCGCAACCCUUAUCGUCAGUUGCCACCGGGUCAAGCCGGGCACUCUGGCGAAACCGCCUCGGAUAACGGGGAGGAAGGUGGGGAGUGACGUCAAGUCCUCAUGGCCUUUAUGUCCAGGGCUACACACGUGCUACAACGGUCGGUACAAACCGUCGCAAACCGCGAGGGGGAGCUAAUCGGAAAAAGCCGGCCUCAGUUCGGAUUGGAGUCUGCAACUCGACUCCAUGAAGCUGGAAUCGCUAGUAAUCGCAGAUCAGAACGCUGCGGUGAAUACGUCCCGGGCCUUGUACACACCGCCCGUCACAUCACGAAAGUGGACUGCACUAGAAGCCGGCGUGCCAACCGCAAGGGGCAGCCGUCCAAGGUAGGUUCAUGAUUGGGGUG